AGCAGCCGCGGUAAUUCCAGCUCCAAUAGCGUAUAUUAAAGUUGUUGCAGUUAAAAAAGCUCGUAGUUGAAUUUCGGGGUUAGUAGGUUGGUCAUGCCUCUGGUAUGUACUGAUCUCACUGAUUCCUCCCUCUUGACGAACUGUAAUGUCAUUAAUUUGGUGUUGCAGGAAAUCAGGACUGUUACUUUGAAAAAAUUAGAGUGUUUAAAGCAGGCUAAGGCUUGAAUACAUUAGCAUGGAAUAGUGAAAUAGGACGUUUGAUCCUAUUUUGUUGGCUUCUAGGAUUGACGUAAUGAUUAAUAGGGAUAGUUGGGGGCAUUAGUAUUCAAUUGUCAGAGGUGAAAUUUCUUGGAUUUAUUGAAGACUAACUACUGCGAAAGCAUUUGUCAAGGAUGUUUUCAUUAAUCAAGAACGAAAGUUAGGGGAUCGAAGACGAUCAGAUACCGUCGUAGUCUUAACCAUAAACUAUGCCGACUAGGGAUCGGAUGAUGUUAAUUUUUUAAUUGUACUCUAUCC
rnacentral:rRNA from 1 species